GCAAGUACUUCAACUGCCAGUCUUAACCAGUCUGUUACUGGCUACAUACACAAUGUCACACCUCUGCGUCAUGGGGUUAAAAGACAGUACUUUGAAGGAGUCUUACAACAACGCCACAAAGUAUGUAAGGUUGUGGUGUUCAAGGUGGAGCUCCAUUCGAAGUUUCUGAAGAUUGAGAAAGACCGAUGCCCGGUCCAACUCAAUAAUGUGGUUGUCCAGCCAUCAAGGAGAGAAGAUGGAAUGGACAUACUCUUCACCCACCAAUCAAAAUGGUGUUGUUUGACUUCAAUUGACUACCCUUACAACCCCACCAUAAUGGUCACCAUUCAAGACCAAACAAUUAGUCAGAUUCUGCAAAUCGACAUGGAAUACCACAGAGUAAGUAUUAGUGGUGGGGAGGGCAAAGAAAAUAACUUCUCAAUCAAUUCUAAACCCUUCAAGAUGUUAGUAGCUUGGUUAACAAAUGCAGGUUUACUAUGCUCUUUACACCUUUGCACAUUCCACAGAUCCAGGAACUGAAUUCAUAAUUAAAUAUCAGGUAAUAGUAACCGUAUUAGACUGUCCCAAUAUCUUGUUUAUGCUCCUUCAGGUAACUUUAAAAGUCAACUUGUUGUCUUCUCGAAGAGUUGGUUGACAUAGUGGGAUAUGAAUAGUAAUGAAACUAGAAAUGUCAUAUGACACUAAUUUGUAUUGUUAAUGUUCUUCAGGUUAACAUCACCGCAAAGCUGAUCCAGAGGGAAAGCGAAGGACAUGCCUUCCUUCAGGAUGAUGUCUUGUUAGAAAAGGCAGUCUACACCAUAGCGGACACCACAGGAAUAAUGGAGCUCACUGUCUGGGGCGAGCAAAACCUUCAGCUGGACUCCUGGUUUUAUAUAACCAAUGUUUCUUUACGGAUGUUCCGAGGUACAAAAUUCCUAUCCACAACAAAAGACACAAAAUUCACACCCACCACAUGCACUGACCCCACAUUUCCACUACAGCCCACCACAUCUGAACAUGUCACUGGAAACAUAAUUGGCGCCAAAGUUACCAUAAUAUACAUUUGUCCACUUAAGCAUAAGUUGCAUAACAUGGCACUUUCCUGCACAAGAGUCCUGUGUGACAAGUGCGAUAUAUUUUACAGAACUGACGCCAUUACACUACACACACACGCCAGGCUCAAAAUAACCACCACAACUUCAGAUGAAAUAAAAUCUGUUAACAUCGAGAACCACGUUCUCCGAGCCACUAUCCAAAUUCCAAAAAACGCCACAACCGACACAAUAAUGGACUCUAUUUUGGACCUCCCCACUAUGAACAUAACAAUACACAACCACUACAUUACCCACCUGGCAUAUCCAGAGAAAUCUCAUACAGACACCCCACAACCCAACAGUCCACUUGUGCACUUCUCCCCACCUACACAACCACCAGCUCCAAGUGAAGACCUAGCGGAACUUGACCUUUUUAUGGUGGAAUCUCCACUAGACACCCAGCCAAAAGUAAACCAGCCAACUCCCCCAUCUCCCACUUCUAUUGCUGAUACCCCAAAAUAAGUAAUGCCUUGUUGGUUUUAAAUUGUAACUUAUGUUUUCUUUUUUUUUUUUUUUUUUUUUUUUUAACUGGAAAUGUGGUGUUUUAAGUUUCAAUCCUGUGUACGCUUGAGGCAGCUCUUUUUAUCCUCCCUAAUUUAAAUUGUGAAUAUUGAAAAUGUUGUAUACAUUUCCAAAAAUAUAUUUCUGUCUUUGACUAUGGGGAUGUGUUAUUUCUGUUAAUAAAGAACCCUCACUUCAA